AAUGAACAGGGAUAAGCUCAGCAUGGAAAUUGGGGCCCUCGGCCUUGAAUUGUAGUCUUGAGAUGUGUUACCAACGGAGGCGCAGAUGUAAGCCUCUUGGAAAAGAGCGUCAGGGAGGGUGAGAGUCCCGUAUGUCAUCUGCAGUUCUCUGUGCACGGUGCAUGUUCUAAGAGUCACGUUCCUCGGGAUUGGAGCGCAAAUUGGGUGGUAAAUUUCAUCUAAAGCUAAAUAUUGGUUCGAGACCGAUAGCAAACAAGUACCAUGAGGGAAAGGUGAAAAGGACUUUGAAAAGAGAGUUAAAAGUGCCUGAAAUUGCUGAAAGGGAAGCGAAUGGAACCAGUUGUUCUUGGUGAGUAUUGGUGUUGUCUAAAGUGAUGGCUUGCCACUUCAACGCAAGUGUGGUGGCAGGUUUUGAUCUGGAUGCGAUACUGCUUCUCGCCUUGCAUGUCAACGUCAGUUCAUAAUUGAGGAAAACUCUAAGGACAUGGUAAUUCGCUUCCGAGUGACUGAAUGUCCUCAGUUGAACUCAUUUUUGAACUGCUCUCUGUGUGUCUGGUAGCACUGCUUCAUGUGCUUGCCUGCGAUCUUCUGCUCUGCAUGAAGGUUGUUGGUGCCAGGAGCAUGUCCUUGACAUUAGAACGAUGACGAAAUGGUUUU
rnacentral:rRNA from 1 species